UGAUUAAGCUGGGAGCUUUCUUCGGUCCACUUAUGGGUGGCAAUAGGAUUUAAUUAGCUGCUGACUCAUUCAUCCAAAUACUGAGUAAAGGGUCGAAAUGGAUACCCAGUAAAUGAGUGAAUGAUGCGGGAGACAAAUUGAAUCUUAAGCUUCCUGUGCUUGGACUGAAGGGAGCUCCCAUUGCUCGCUAA
rfam:Citrus sinensis cultivar Ridge Pineapple sweet orange scaffold00009_contig_181, whole genome shotgun sequence.